ensembl:snRNA U6 U6 spliceosomal RNA
GUGCUCACUUCGGCAGCACAUAUACUAAAAUUAGAAUGAUACAGAGAAGAUUAACAUGGCCCCUGUGCAAGGAUGACACGCAAAUUUGUGAAGCGUUCCAUGAAUUA